rnacentral:rRNA from 1 species
GACGAACGCUGGCGGCGUGCCUAAUACAUGCAAGUUGAGCGCUGAAGGCUGGUACUUGUACCAACUGGAUGAGCAGCGAACGGGUGAGUAACGCGUGGGGAAUCUGCCUUUGAGCGGGGGACAACAUUUGGACACGAAUGCUAAUACCGCAUAAAAACUUUAAACACAAGUUUUAAGUUUGAAAGAUGCCAUUGCAUCACUCAAAGGUGAUCCCGCGUUGUAUUGGUAAGGUGGUGAGGUAAAGGAUCACCAAGGCGGUGUUACAUAGCCGCCCGGAGAGGGUGGGCGGCCGCAUUGGGACGGAGACACGCCCCAAACGCACACGGGAGGCAGCAGUAGGGAAUCGUGGGGAAGGGGUGGAAGACUGAGCGAGCAAGGCCGAGUGAGGGAGGAGGGUUGUCGGGUCGGAAAACACUGUCUGUGGGGAAGAACGUUGGUGAGAGUGGAAAGCUCAGCGAGUGACGGUAACUAGCCAGAAAGCGACGGCUAACUACGUG